rnacentral:rRNA from 1 species
CNGCGNNNNANAGAGCCAGCAUGUCUAGUACAUGCCGUAUUAAGGCGAAACCGCGAAUGGCUCAUUAAAUCAGUUAUGGUUCCUUGGAUCGUACCUUACUACUUGGAUAACUGUGGCAAUUCUAGAGCUAAUACAUGCAGCAGAGCUCCGACCUUCGGGAACGAGCGCUUUUAUUAGACCAAAACCAAUCGGGCCUCGUGUCCGUCUCUUGUGGUGACUCUGUAUAACUUUGGGCUGAUCGCACGGGCUCGUCCCGGCGACGUAUCUUUCAAGUGUCUGCCUUAUCAACUGUCGAUGGUAGGUUACGCGCCUACCAUGGUCGUAACGGGUGACGGGGAAUCAGGGUUCGAUUCCGGAGAGGGAGCCUGAGAAACGGCUACCACAUCCAAGGAAGGCAGCAGGCGCGCAAAUUACCCACUCCCAGAACGGGGAGGUAGUGACGAAAAAUAACAAUACGGGACUCUUUUGAGACCCCGUAAUUGGAAUGAGUACACUCUAAAUCCUUUAACGAGGAUCCAUUGGAGAGCAAGUCUGGUGCCAGCAGUCGCGGUAAUUCCAGCUCCAAUAGCGUAUAUUAAAGUUGUUGCGGUUAAAAAGCUCGUAGUUGGAUCUCAGCUCCGGCCGGACGGUCCGCCUACCGGUGGUUACUGUUCGUCGCCGAGCGUUCAGGCGGUUAUUCUUGAUGAUCUUCACCGGUUGUCUCGGGUGACCGCCAAGUUUACUUUGAAAAAAUUAGAGUGCUCAAAGCAGCGCGACGCCUGAAUAAUUGUGCAUGGAAUAAUGGAAUAGGACCUCGGUUCUAUUUUGUUGGUUUUCGGAACACGAGGUAAUGAUUAAGAGGGACAGACGGGGGCAUUCGUAUUGCGACGCUAGAGGUGAAAAUUCUUGGACCGUCGCAAGACGAACUAUGCAGAUUUUUUUUUUU